AAGAGGCUGAGUCACAAGCGCUCACAGCGCCUGCGGGAGACGAGGGUGCUGGUCAAGAUGUGGAGGUGAAAACUCUGCUGAGAAGAGACGACCGCGGCCGUUCGAUCCUGCACUUUGCCGCCGAGCGGCCCCACCGAGGCCACGCCCUCUCUCGGCUUCUCGACCAAUCAGGGCUGAGUCUGGCCGACCGAGACGAGCGCUAUGCCACCGCGCGGGAUGCCGCGGUGGCUGCGGGACUCUCCGAAAAUGUAGCGGCCAUCGACGCUUGGGUGACCUCUCUGGCUGCCAGAGGGGACACGGAGCGGCUAGGUCAGCUACUGCUAGACGGGUAUGACCACAUCCUUGAUGCGGAGGAUAGCCGUCAUCGGAACAU